rnacentral:misc_RNA from 1 species
AAGUCGUAACAAGGUUUCCGUAGGUGAACCUGCGGAAGGAUCAUUUUUGUUGCUUAAUAGACUUGAGGGGUUUACCCUCGAGCGUUGACUGAACCCAUCUCAGUGUUGCUGAGGUUGAACAUGGCAUUGUCUGACUAGUUUUAAUAUAAAAAACUUUCAACAACGGAUCUCUAGGCUCUU